rnacentral:rRNA from 2 species
AACUUUUGACGGUGGAUCUCUUGGCUCACGCAUCGAUGAAGAACGCAGCCAGCUGCGAUAAGUAGUGUGAAUUGCAGAAUUCAGUGAAUCAUCGAAUCUUUGAACGCAAAUGGCGCUCUUGGGUUCUCCCAGGAGCAUGUCUGUCUGAGUGUCGGAAAUCAUCCAUC